ensembl:lncRNA
CCCCAGCCGCUCCUUUUGAGCCCUGAUGACAACAGUCCAGUGCACCGAGUAUUUCAGAAGCCAAUGGAGAGCCGAGGUCCAGGGGCCAUCGGUGUGAUUGGGAAAUGCAAAGCAGCUCACUCGGGUGUCAAAUAUUUUUGCUGCAAUAAUAAAAGACAGAAAAUUCUCAGCUACGGCCAUCUGAUGCCCCCCUUCAUCGAGGGGAUCCUGUAGUACGGAGGCCUGUCAGCCUGCAUUCGGCCUGACCUUUGCCCUCUCGCUGCUCUCUGACAUGGUGGCCCUGCUCACCUUCCACAUCUACUGCUUCCACGCCUACGGAGCCAGAGCCUGAUCUACUCUGGACUCUGAGAAUUGGAGAGUGACAAUUGGCACACAGGAAGUACUAGAAAUCGCACCAUAAAUGUUCACCUGC